rnacentral:rRNA from 1 species
GACGAACGCUGGCGGCGUGCCUAAUACAUGCAAGUAGAACGCUGAAGAGAGGAGCUUGCUCUUCUUGGAUGAGUUGCGAACGGGUGAGUAACGCGUAGGUAACCUGCCUUGUAGCGGGGGAUAACUAUUGGAAACGAUAGCUAAUACCGCAUAACAAUGGAUGACACAUGUCAUUUAUUUGAAAGGGGCAAUUGCUUCACUACAAGAUGGACCUGCGUUGUAUUAGCUAGUAGGUGAGGUAAUGGCUCACCUAGGCGAGGAUACAUAGCCGACCUGAGAAGGUGAUCGGCCACACUGGGACUGAGACACGGCCCAGACUCCUACGGGAGGCAGCAGUAGGGAAUCUUCGGCAAUGGGGGCAACCCUGACCGAGCAACGCCGCGUGAGUGAAGAAGGUUUUCGGAUCGUAAAGCUCUGUUGUAAGUCAAGAACGGGUGUGAGAGUGGAAAGUUCACACUGUGACGGUAGCUUACCAGAAAGGGACGGCUAACUACGUG